CUUACCAGCAUGCAACUGACACUGAGGCACGAAAGCGUGGGUAUCAAACAGGAUUAGAUACCCUGGUAGUCCACGCAGUAAACGAUGAAUACUAGCUGUUGGCGAUAUAUGGUCAGCGGUACAGCGAAAGUGUUAAGUAUUCCACCUGGGGAGUACGCCGGCAACGGUGAAACUCAAAGGAAUUGACGGGGGCCCGCACAAGCGGAGGAACAUGUGGUUUAAUUCGAUGAUACGCGAGGAACCUUACCCGGGCUUGAAAGUUAGUGACGGACUGUGAAAGCGGUCUUCCCUUCGGGGCACGAAACUAGGUGCUGCAUGGUUGUCGUCAGCUCGUGCCGUGAGGUGUCGGCUUAAGUGCCAUAACGAGCGCAACCCUUGCCGUUAGUUGCCAGCGGGUAAUGCCGGGAACUCUAGCGGGACUGCUACUGUAAGGUAGAGGAAGGUGGGGAUGACGUCAAAUCAGCACGGCCCUUACGUCCGGGGCGACACACGUGUUACAAUGGCAGGUACAGAGGGUUGCUACCCCGCGAGGGGAUGCUAAUCUCAUAAAACCUGUCUCAGUUCGGAUCGGAGUCUGCAACUCGACUCCGUGAAGCUGGA
rnacentral:rRNA from 1 species